rnacentral:rRNA from 1 species
UACGGGAGGCAGCAGUGGGGAAUAUUGCACAAUGGGCGAAAGCCUGAUGCAGCAACGCCGCGUGAGGGAUGACGGCCUUCGGGUUGUAAACCUCUUUUAGCAGGGAAGAAGCGAAAGUGACGGUACCUGCAGAAAAAGCGCCGGCUAACUACGUGCCAGCAGCCGCGGUAAUACGUAGGGCGCAAGCGUUAUCCGGAAUUAUUGGGCGUAAAGAGCUCGUAGGCGGUCUGUCGCGUCUGCUGUGAAAACCCGAGGCUCAACCUCGGGCCUGCAGUGGGUACGGGCAGACUAGAGUGCGGUAGGGGAGAUUGGAAUUCCUGGUGUAGCGGUGGAAUGCGCAGAUAUCAGGAGGAACACCGAUGGCGAAGGCAGAUCUCUGGGCCGUAACUGACGCUGAGGAGCGAAAGGGGUGGGGAGCAAACAGGAUUAGAUACCCUGG